rnacentral:rRNA from 1 species
UCGGCUUAGAGUUUGAUCAUGGCUCAGAUUGAACGCUGGCGGCAGGCUUAACACAUGCAAGUCGAACGGUAAAGUAGCUUGCUACUUACGAGUGGCGGACGGGUGAGUAACGUAUGGGAAUUUACCGAAUGGAGGGGGACAACAGUUGGAAACGGCUGCUAAUACCGCAUAACGUCGAGAGACCAAAGGGUUUCGACUUGCCAUUUGAUGAGCCCAUAUGAGAUUAGCUAGUUGGUGUGGUAAUGGCUCACCAAGGCGACGAUCUCUAGCUGGUUUGAGAGGAUGACCAGCCACACUGGGACUGAGACACGGCCCAGACUCCUGCGGGAGGCAGCAGUGGGGAAUAUUGCACAAUGGGGGGAACCCUGAUGCAGCCAUGCCGCGUGUAUGAAGAAGGCCUUAGGGUUGUAAAGUACUUUCGUGGAGGAGGAAGGGUUUACGUAAUCGUGGACAUUGACGUUACUCCAAGAAGAAGCACCGGCUAACUCCGUGCCAGCAGCCGCGGUAAUACGGAGGGUGCGAGCGUUAAUCGGAAUGACUGGGCGUAAAGGGCAUGUAGGCGGAUGAUUAAGUUAGAUGUGAAAUCCCUGGGCUUAACCUAGAAUUGCAUUUAAAACUGGUUAU